UACAGAGGUAGCAAACGUUGUCCGGAUUCACUGGGCGUAAAGGGAUCGUAGGCGGUCAUUUAAGUCAGGUGUGAAAUCGUUCAGCUCAACUGAACAAUCGCAUUUGAUACUGAAUGGCUUGAGUGCAGAAGGGGAAACUGGAAUUUCCGGUGUAGCGGUGAAAUGCGUAGAUAUCGGAAAGAACACCCGUGGCGAAGGCGGGUUUCUGGUCUGCAACUGACGCUGAGGAUCGAAAGCCAGGGGAGCAAAC
rnacentral:rRNA from 1 species